rnacentral:lncRNA from 1 species
AGAGCCACUUAUGCACACCGCUUUGCUUGGAGAUUCGCGCCCAGUAGCAAUCCGCGCUCCCUGCCUGCUGCAGUCUCGUCUCCUGGCACCAGUUCCCCCGCACCUCCCACUGCCCCGUCAUCAGAGGAGUUCGCUCAGGCUGGGCACAACCCCGGGAGUGCCCCAGGCCGAACUGAAUGGCGCACGCGGCCCGGCACCAGUGGGUGGCUUCGCCUGGGCCAGAUCGAGGCCUCAAGUGUCUUCUUGGAGAUGGGCGGGGCGCAAGGAACCGCACCACCAUUGGCAACAGGCGGGACCACGCGCUCAUCCCGUUCCCGAGGGUGAGGGCUGCUGAACCUUGAUUCUUUCUUCCAAAUCCUAGCCGCUCUGUUCUCCUUAUGGAAUGUUCUACUCUCCUUCCCGGCCCCUUGGCCUUACCGACCCCCAAAAUGUCUAUAGGGUAGGACAGUACCGUAGGGUUCCUACUUCAGGCCUUGAAGUUGUGGUGGCGAUCUCAGGACAAGGUUUGGAACUAGUCCCCAAACCCCAGCUCAUUCAUGUCUACCCUGGAAUAGCUGUCUCUUCCACCCCAGAUUUGCUCUCCUUUUUAAAACAAAAAAAACUAAAGAUG